GGGGGUACGCCGGAGUUGGAGAGCCGGGGCAGACUGUAAAUCUGUUGUCUAUGACUGAAUAGGUUCGAAUCCUAUUACCCCCACUA
rnacentral:tRNA from 1 species